rnacentral:lncRNA from 1 species
CUGUGUUGAGUUCCCAAAUACAAAUGCACGUGAUGCAAACAACCGUUCCUACAAGGGAUCCGAAAUGAGGCUAUGCUAUUCUAUGUUUAAAACCUGGGUGUAUUAUUCUAGACAUAGCUUACCCUAGCGGAUGACUCGAGCUGAGGGGGGGAAGCGUACCGGGAAUACAAAAGUUUCAUCGGCUUUCCAACUUGUGCGAACCUCGUUAUAAAAUUGAAUAAGACUCUAAACAGAAGAGAAGUCACACGAAGUGCACACUCCCGAGAUGAUUUAGAAGACUCAUAGAGAAGAAGGGUUUCGUAGCAGUUUAUAUACAGUUCACAAAAUAUCAAAGCGCUAAAAGCGGCAUUUCGCACAUUAGGCCCAAACAUUUACAAAAAUCAGAUAAUAAAUAAGGUCAAUCAUAACAUCUAUUCUAAACUCAAAUUCUUAAAUCCUGAACCAAAGUUUUGGGUUUGGAUCCCCAGCGGAAUCGCCAGAGCUGCCAUACGUCCUUUUUACAAACCACCUGAACGUUAUAUAUAAG